CAAAAACUAAAUAUGCGUUGUUUAUACUGAUGAAGAUGUGAUGUGAACUUUUGUCAGCAGUGUCUGGUAGAUUGAAUGGAGACAUGCUGAACAUGAACUUCAUGUCUCAAAUUAACCAUCUCUCUCCCUCUCUUUCUCACCAGCCUUGGAUGGAUCAGUAUUUUAACAGAUUGAAAAAAUCGUCCGAGAGGGGAAGAUAGCGACUCGGAAACGGUUCAUGUUGCAGGAUAUUAUAGAACUUAGAUUGCACUGCAGUCCAGCCCCGCACCACAACCCUCCACCCCUCCUCAAGAGAAGGCAGACUUCGACGGAAGAAAAGGGAAUAAGAAAAGGAACCAAAGGAAACGGCUCUACAAGCUGCUGUAUAAUGCGCCUGCUUUUUCUCAGCCUGAUCCGUUGAUCAGGGGAACCAGUUCCAAGGAGCUGCUGGAGCGUCCAGCUGUCUAUGAGUGGUAUUGGUGAUAGCCCUUGUAAAUACAGUGUGGACAUUACACACGUAUACCAAUAAACUGAUCAAUAAACUUCAGUGAAAUGUUAUCAAUAACCUUUAUUGGAAGAGACCUUGAGACCUUUGGACUAAAUCCUGUAUGUACAACAACACUACCGAUAGGCUUUGUUCAGCCGCAAA